rnacentral:lncRNA from 1 species
GCAACCAGCUCCAUUCUUAGCUGUGGUCCAAAAGUCACCUCAUUAACAUAACAAAAGACACCUUUAUUGCUCUCAUCACUUAGGAAAUUCCGAGAGUUUUUGGAGCUCUGUGCCAGGAAGGGGAACAAAGACCAAAUAUAUACUUCUUAUUAUAAAUCAGAAUAUCUCACAUACACCUUUCUCACCCACGCCAGAGUUCCAAUCCCUGGAAUCAACACUGCCAAGGACCUUCUGGGGAGACCCUCUGACUCACCUAUCCUUGCUUUCUUCCUGUGUAAAGCGGUAUCAAGGACCAGACAGCUUUGGACCGGGGCCUCAGAGGGAAGAUUACAGUAGCUGAAGGAUUUGAGAGGCCAGGUAAAAGCACAGUUACCCAAACUGCUGGGAAGUCACAUGACUAUUCAGGAAGCUAUAAAAGUGUGGUGGACCGGGAUCAACUCAACAGCUGGCUAGAACUUCAGAGAGCACCUGAGGACAAGGCCUUGAUAUAGUCACUGGAACCGGCGUACAAGAUGAAGUGUGACCAAGAGGAAGCUAGACAAGAGCCCAGUUACAGAAAAUGGGUACACAUCACAGAGCAUCAGUGUUCCCAGCUCCCCAGGCUAGCGUGAUACAGGAACUAGGAGACAGGGACAUAAUCGCAUGAGGUUCUCUCCUUAACGUGCCUGGAACUUGAGCAGGUUAGCCAACUUCUCUGAUGUUGUCUUAGGGAGUUUGAGAGUUUCUGAAGAUUCCUUAGGCCCACUUUUAAAGGUUCGCAAAUAUAAGGCAGUUUUUCAAUUGUUUGUACCUUAUGCUGGGCAUAUUGUACUGAAAACAAUUAAAUAGAGUGGAUAAAAAUAAUCAAUUCUAAAAAUAAUCAAUUGCCGAUAUUAAAAUGUUUGUUGCUUAUCCUUAUUCAUCCUGCCAUGGGACAUAGGCUGACAAAAGCCAUUUAACCCCGACACUUAACCAUCUCCUCUUCAAAUGCUGAUGCUCUCAUGGGAGUGUUAUGCUCCAUUAUUCUAAGAGGCUAAGGAGUAUUUGAAAAGAAAGACCCAGAAAAGGGGCUUCAUAAUCGGGUGCUGGACUCCAUCUCAUACAGAUUCAGCUAUAAGAACAAAAAUGCGUUUCAAGGGCAAAUAUAAAUGAUUCCCAUAGUAGCUGAUAUAGAGCAGCUAAUUAAGACAACUUCUAAAAAUAAUAAGUUUAAAGAAGGCUAACAUUGGAAGGGAUCUUGGAGAUUACUACUUUCCAACCCUUAAUUUUAAAUUGAGGAACCAAGUUUAGAAGUUGAGUGACUUGCCUAAGGCCAUGGAGUUAAAGGAAGGGAAGGGACUAGGACAGAAAUUUCCUGACUC